GCUAAGUGUACCCAGCCUAACGUACACAUAACAACAUAGCUCAAUUAUAACCACACGAUCAGAAUCACUUAAUUUAAUCUAAUCCAGAGCCAAAAACGCGCUUAGCAAUUUACCUGGGCGGACGAAAACUCUGCCGUACCAAACGUUCCGCGCGCCCCGCGUCGACCCCGGUACAUCGUUUCCUAAUCCAAGGAAAGGAAAACACAAUCCGAUAUCGAAAGAUCCCUGAAUGCAGGUGAGCGACGCGGUCAACACGGGGAGGCGGCGGCAUCUCGAGGGAACGGUGAUGGCCAAGUUGUGGGCUCCGGCGGGGCUGCUGUGGAUCUGGCGGAUGGCAGCAGGAUCGGGUCGACGACGGACGGCUCCGGCGAGAGUCGGAGGGACGACGGCGGCGGCUGAGCUCCUCCAUGGCCUGCUGCGGUUCCAGGGAGAACAGAAGGAAGGGAGGGGAGGAAGGGCACGGCCAGCAGGCUCUCACCUCUCUUACCUCCAUGCCGCCGUCGACACGACCCCCGAGCCUAGACCACGACCCAUGCGACGGGACCCCGCUGAUGCCGGCGGCGGUGCCGGGUUCCAUGAUCUAUUCGACUUCAUGUGUCGAAUCAUCAAGUCCGCACCAGCACUCCACCGGGCCCCUCAGUGGGAUCGGCGUCCGUAUCAGCUCCUGCCUCUGCAAGUCAAGGGGUAGGCUGCUCGAUCGCAUCUCCAAGAGUCCCUCGCCGCCACAACGCCUGCAGUCGCGGACGGCCGUACCUGUCGACGGGAGCGGCUGAGCAGGGGACAUCCCGCCGAUCCGAUGGCGGAAGGGCGAGAUAAUGGGCAAGUCUACCUCGGGUUGAAUCUGGACACCAGCGAGCUCCUUGCAGUAAACCAGUUGGGCGCUCCUUCGAAACAAGAUUAUCGUGUCCAGGUAUACAGUCCGCCACAAAACUCUCCCGUGCAGUGGGCGUACAGAAGGUACCUUCCUCUCCUGAUUUUGUAUAUGGCAGUGUAGUACUAUGUGGUUAACUGAAAACGAAGAGUAAGCAAAUUAGUUCCUGUCAGAACAACUGUAGCCGGCAUCGCCGCCGUCGCUUAUGGAGCUCCACACCAUUCCCCAAUUGUACGAGAGCAUGUUCAAUCUUCGCCAUUCUAUACUAUGUGCAAAUGGUCAACUCUUUUCCAAACAAGAAGAUAUGAGGAUUAGGCAUAUAUGCCCCAUAAGGUAGCUAUAUUCAUGUGUUGUAGUGUGGAUUAUGGUCACGCUCUGUCUUGGACUGCAGAUAGCUAGGUUAACAAAAAUGGAUACUCUGCAUAUUUUCUGAAUUUUUAGUAAGGUCUACAUGAAUAAGGUUAGCAGUAGUUCUGACUUGGGGCACUGGUUAAUUCUUCACAUGCAGGAACGUGGAGAGAUGGUGGGCUCCAAGCCCAUGGUGAUUUUAUUGUGCUUGCAGCUUGAGAUGUACUUGGUCCAAAUGAAAAUCAUCAUUUUGAAGGGCAACUUCGCAUGGAAUUAGGAUCACUUAAUAAGGUUCUGGUUUCUUUUUCAAAUUCACUUGCUUUAUGCAUGAACCUAUUAUAGAUUUGUUGGUGUUGAUUUGCAGUAAGAGCAAAUGUAAUAUUGUUCUCAUCAAUUUCUUUCAUAGCAUGUGUAAUGCGUUAUAACAUCAGUUUCAUUGGAUUGGAAAAGGUGAUAAACAUGCAACCAUUCUUACUCGAUGAUAUGAAUACUUCAGGAGCAAUGGUGGCAUUUGUUUGCACAUUAGUAUUCCAUUAUGUAGUAAAGGAUAUGGUCUGGUAGUCAUUCUUUAUCGUUAUAGUUAUUGUCAAAUGGUGGAAUAUUGCUGCCUAGCAGCUCUGGUUCAUGCGUGUGUGAAAAACAAUGUAAAAUCAUUUUUGUUGCUGUAGAAUCUCAUGAGUCGUAUGAAAAAGAAGGCUAGGAUAUUUAUAUUUUUUAAUUGUUCAGCUGCUUGUGUUACAGAUCUGGGCAUACCUUUUGUUUGAGAUAAAUUUGGGCAUAAAUUGUCACAAAUAAAUGGGUGGCGUUGGGUCAAGGUUCAGGAACCCAGGGGCAUCAUGCUUCUUUUGAGCCACAUGGGGAGAAUUACAUCCAUGUAUUAGAAAAACUAGGUGCCCGCUUAAACAGAAAAAAUACAACUCUUGCUGACCGGGAGCUUCAUGGUAGUGGCUAGAAUUUAAUCAGAGAUCCAUGUACAGGUUGAUUGUUAUGAAACCAUGCGAUGGAAUCUUGAUGUUGACAAUGUCCAGAAAUCUGAUUCGUCAGAGACAAAAUCCAACCUUAAUUCCCCCAUUCAGAUCAUGAAAUAUUGGGGUUAACAGUUUGCGAUGUAAGAUGGGUUGAGAUCUGCUAUACGUUAACUUUCUUUUGUUCAAAUGUUUUCUUUUGUUUUGAAACCUUAAUGUUUUCUGUUGUGGGGUGACAAUGUCUGGGUUUAUGCUAACAAGCAAGAAAAAGGUUAUAUGCAAUGAGUUCCCAAUCUUGAAAUAUUGAAAUAUUGAAGCAUAUCUUGGAACGACGGAGUUCCCAAUCUUCAUGGUAGAUGAUGGGACACUGGAUGCUGAAGUUGCUUAUUGUCUCGCGUAGAACAAUAGCAUGUCCUUAUUUUUUGCU